UUCUCUACAAGCAGUCCUUAAUGACUUGCUUGUGCUUUGACAGCUUCUUUCUUUUCAACAAGCAGGGGAAGCAAAAUCAAUGGUCCCGUAAGACAUAGGCUCUGAUACCAAUUGUUGGUGCAAGAGGCAGCAACAAAAGAGAGAACAAGAGCACAGAACAUGAAGUAAGGUGCAAGAAACAUUUUUACUUGCUCACAAAUGUGCAGCAAGGGAGCUAAUGGCUGAUAGCUCAUUCAGCUCAUUCAUUCAACUAGAAAAAACAUACAUUUAUAGUCAAAUACAUCACCAAAUAGUCAACUAACC
rnacentral:lncRNA from 1 species